rnacentral:rRNA from 1 species
AGAGUUUGAUCCUGGCUCAGAUUGAACGCUGGCGGCAGGCCUAACACAUGCAAGUCGAGCGGAUGAGAAGAGCUUGCUCUUCGAUUCAGCGGCGGACGGGUGAGUAAUACCUAGGAAUCUGCCUGGUAGUGGGGGACAACGUUUCGAAAGGAACGCUAAUACCGCAUACGUCCUACGGGAGAAAGCAGGGGACCUUCGGGCCUUGCGCUAUCAGAUGAGCCUAGGUCGGAUUAGCUAGUUGGUGAGGUAAUGGCUCACCAAGGCGACGAUCCGUAACUGGUCUGAGAGGAUGAUCAGUCACACUGGAACUGAGACACGGUCCAGACUCCUACGGGAGGCAGCAGUGGGGAAUAUUGGACAAUGGGCGAAAGCCUGAUCCAGCCAUGCCGCGUGUGUGAAGAAGGUCUUCGGAUUGUAAAGCACUUUAAGUUGGGAGGAAGGGUACUUACCUAAUACGUGAGUAUUUUGACGUUACCGACAGAAUAAGCACCGGCUAACUCUGUGCCAGCAGCCGCGGUAAUAC